rnacentral:rRNA from 1 species
UCGUAACAAGGUCUCCGUUGGUGAACCAGCGGAGGGAUCAUUGCUGGAACUGCGCCUCGGCGCACCCAGAAACCCUUUGUGAACUUAUACCUAUUUGUUGCCUCGGCGUAAGGCUGGGCCCCCUCGGGGCCCCCCCAGUCACUGGGGAGCAGGCCCGCCGGCGGCCAAGUAAACUCUUGUUUUUACCUGGAACUCUGAGUGAAAAAACAUAAAUGAAUCAAAACUUUCAACAACGGAUCUCUUGGUUCUGGCAUCGAUGAAGAACGCAGCGAAAUGCGAUAAGUAAUGUGAAUUGCAGAAUUCAGUGAAUCAUCGAAUCUUUGAACGCACAUUGCGCCCUCUGGUAUUCCGGAGGGCAUGCCUGUUCGAGCGUCAUUUCAACCCUCAAGCCUGGCUUGGUGAUGGGGCACUGCUUUGGAGACAAAGCAGGCCCUGAAAUUCAGUGGCGAGCUCGCCAGUACCCCGAGCGCAGUAGUUAAACCCUCGUUCUGGAAGGUGCUGGCGGUGCCCUGCCGUUAAACCCCCAACUUCUGAAAAUUGA